GCUUGACUGUAGCUUGUAAUUGGGUUCGGGCUUUUUUUGCGCAGCCUAGGUGGGAGGCAACGAUGAUUUUUUUCCGGAAAAAUUUAAGCCGUUAGUGAGAGACCACUCUGAAAAGGCUAGAAUCCUAAUAAUGAUCCUUGAAUCAGGACAUUUGACAGUUGCAGGUAGGCAGUUUUACUGGGGCGGUAUUCUCCUAAAAAGUAACGGAGGGGUGCAAAGGUUCCCUCAAGCUGGACGGAAAUCAGCUUAAGAGUGUAAAGGCAAAAGGGAGCUUGACUGCAAGACCUACAAGUCGAGCAGGGGCGAAAGCCGGCCUUAGUGAUCCGACGGUACCACGUGGAAGGGCCGUCGCUCAACGGAUAAAAGUUA
rnacentral:rRNA from 1 species